CGCGUUUUGCGUGUACUCAGGGCAUUUUUCCUUACCCGUCGUGGGUUUUUGGAUGGUCGAAUUUGGGCCGUCUAGGACUGAGGGAUCCUCUUUUUUUAAUAUAAGGGUGAGGACGACGGGGCGCUGACGCGAUACGACCCGUCUUGAAACACGGACCAAGGAGUUCAGCAUAUGUGCGAGUCAAAGGGUGGUGAAACCUGAGGGCGCAGUGAAAGCGAUUUAACACGGAUCGUGUAAGAACUAAAACAUAUAAUUUUCAGUUUUAAGGCGGCAUACAAUGGGUGAUUGUAGGACCGACCUCGAGCAGAUAUGCUGAGACCCGAAAGAUGGUGAACUAUGCCGGAGUAGGGCGAAGCCAGAGGAAACUCUGGUGGAGGCUCGUAGCGGUGCUGACGUGCAAAUCGCUCGUCUGACUUGGGUAUAGGGGCGAAAGACUAAUCGAACCAUCUAGUAGCUGGUUUCC
rnacentral:rRNA from 1 species